rnacentral:rRNA from 1 species
UACGUGGGGGGCAAGCGUUGUUCGGAAUUACUGGGCGUAAAGGGCUCGUAGGUGGCCAACUAAGUCGGACGUGAAAUCUCUCGGCUUAACCGGGGAACUGCGUCUGAUACUGGAUGGCUUGAGUUCGGGAGAGGGAUGCGGAAUUCCAGGUGUAGCGGUGAAAUGCGUAGAUAUCUGGAGGAACACCGGUGGCGAAGGCGGCAUCCUGGGCCGACACUGACGCUGAGGAGCGAAAGCCAGGGGAGCAAACGGG